AUGUUGCAGUAUGAAGAAGAAGUUGGUGGCAUGGAUGGGAUUAGAGUGUGUAGAAAUGCACCGUCAGUAUCACACCUUUUAUUCGCUGAUGAUUCUCUAAUUCUCAUCGGAGCAGAUGUUCUUAAUGCAACUUCCUUACAACAUGUACUAGACACCUAUUGCCAAAAUUCGGGUCAGAUGGUGAGUCUAUCAAAAUCAAGCAUCUUUUUCAGCCCAAACACAACUGUGGUAACUAGAGCAGAAGUUUGCCAAAUCCUACACAUUGAUACUGAAGCAUUAUCUGAUAAGUAUCUUGGUCUACCUGCUAUGGCGGGGGCAAAUAGGAGUGAUUGUUUUAAACACUUUCGGGAGAGAAUUAAAGCUAGGUUAAUUGGAUGGAUGAAAAAACUGUUGUCCACAGGGGGCAAGGAAAUCCUACUUAAGGCAGUGGCCCAAGCAAUACCAGUUUUUGCAAUGUCAGUAUUUUGCCUGCCUAAGGGUGUGUGUAAGGAUAUCACAGAUAUUAUUUCCCAAUUUUGGUGGGGUGACGAUGAGGAGAAUAGGAAAAUGCACUGGUACUCGUGGUGGAAAUUAUGCUUCCCUAAAAGUGAAGGCGGUAUGGGGUUUCGUGAUCUAUAUUCGUUCAAUUUAGCCAUGCUUGCUAAACAAUGCUGGAGGUUAAUUACCGAACCAGAGUCUCUAUGUGCUCGUGUUUUGAAAGCGAAAUAUUAUCCAAAUGGGAGCUUACUUCAAGCUACUCCUAAACAAGGAUCGUCUUUCACAUGGCAAAGUAUUCUGAAGGGGCUAGAGACUUUCAAGAAAGGUUUUAUUUGGAGAAUUGGUUCUGGUGAUACAGUGAACAUAUGGGAUGAUCCAUGGAUACCUUCCAGUUUAGAUCGAAAGAUAAUUACCCCUUGUGGGCAAACAUUACUGUCACGGGUAAGUGAUCUCAUUGACCCAAAUAAUGGCACGUGGGAUGAGGAGCUACUGAGAAGCAUCUUCAACCCUGUGGAUGUGCGAAGGAUAUUGCAAAUACCCUUGAAUCACCAAGCCUUUGAUGACUUUGUUGCUUGGCAUGUGAAUAGAACAGGAAUCUUCUCUGUCUGA
rnacentral:rRNA from 1 species